UACGGAGGGUGCGAGCGUUGUCCGGAAUCAUUGGGCGUAAAGGGCGCGUAGGUGGCCCGGUCAGUCUUUGGUGAAAGCGCGGGGCUCAACCCUGCGUCGGCCAGGGAUACUGCCGCGGCUCGAGCACUGUAGAGGCAGGCGGAAUUCCGGGUGUAGCGGUGGAAUGCGUAGAGAUCCGGAAGAACACCGGUGGCGAAGGCGGUCUGCUGGGCAGUAGCUGACACUGAGGCGCGACAGCGUGGGGAGCAAACAGG
rnacentral:rRNA from 1 species